CAACGGAUGCAUAAAUAUCCUGCCCAUCGGCAGGAACACCUCCCAAGAUAGAAAAUGCAGAGACAUCUGUCGUGCUAGUGAGGUUGCAUCAUUAAUGGAUAAACCUCUGGCCAUUUUUCUGCAUUAUGCAGUCCAGUGUGUCGUAGCGCUAAACCAUGUAAAUCACGUCCAUUCCUCUUUCUGGGCGCGUUCAUUAAUGGCUAGCUUGGGAUUUAAUCUGGUUUAAAUAUAGGUAUGCUAAUAGUGUAUGCCCAAUUGUAAUUUUUUCCCCUGAUCUUUUUAACCCCUAUUAAUAGUGCAAACUCCUUCAAAUCGUUGGACGUGUAAAGGUCGCUGUAUUCUCCCAAAUUUCAAUUUCAUGGUUUGCGUAUAUCAAUCUGAUGUUUGAAUAAAUAUAUUCAACUGUAUCCUGUUAGACAUUAUCUCUGGGUGGAUGCUUUUUUACCAAGAUCGUAAGUUUCAUGAUAAUGUCUCUUUUAACAAAGCAAACGGCUCCGAUUUGGUUCAGUUUUCCCAAAGUCAGUUGCUAGGAAGAGUAUUUGGGCGCCUCUGAUGCUCUGAAGCUCCGCCUGCGAAGAUUUUCAGGAGUCCGGCUCAUUUAUUGCUGUUGGAGGCUUCCAUGGGUAGUCAUACAUCACGCCUUGCUGUUCCUUUGGGUAUGCGGGUUUUAGCAAUCUUACGAUGUUGCUUGAGGAGUGGCAAUGGUUCUAAAAGCGUGCAGCUUGGAAUGGCAUUAAUGCUGUUUAAGCAUCUACACAGAAAGAAUUAAAUUUUCACCCGUAAAAAUAAGAAGGGAAUAGCACUUACAGUGGAUUAUUGGAGGCAAUUACGAAGGGCUGUGGGGUAAGACAAGGCUGUCCGCAUUUUAAUUUUUUUGGAUUAAAGGAUGAAACACAAACUUUAGUGAAGGAUCCUUCUUCCCUCUUGCUGGGGGAGUUGAAUAUUUUUCGAAGAGGUCAGGCUGUGCUGAUCGACAAUGACUUGCUUAAUGCAUGUUCAAGAUCUUAUCAGGCACCUUUGCUUAAUAUUAUUGUUUUUGGAAGAAUAUGGGCUCUUUGAGUCUUCUGACUUGUUCAGAUGUUAUCUUUUCUAGCCUUUGUAGUUCAAUAUUUUCCAUGUAACUCUGCUGUUAACGGUAUGUAGCUCUCACGCUAUUUUGUCUAGCAUAACAGGCAUGUGUUCUCAAAAUGGAGCAGAAUUUUUUUGAAUCUUUAUUAUAGUAGACAUUCCUAUCCAUAUUUAUAUGGCAUAGGAACAAUUGAAUUUCCAAUAAA